UUGACCUCAAAUCGGGUGGGACUACCCGCUGACUUAAGCAUAUCAAUAAGCGGAGGA
rnacentral:rRNA from 1 species